AGAACCUCUGGCCUCACCGACACGUCUUCCUCCUUCUCACCUCCCUCUGCUGCUGUCUGCUGCAUCCAUCGCUGCUCUGGUCGCCGUGACGAUUCUGGUUUUACUGCUGAGACGACGAGUCGGCGGCAAAACUGGAGGUGGAGGUGGACCCUCAGAAGACGUGACGUACUCGGAUGUUGAGAUGUUCCACAACCAGCAGCUGGUCAGAACGCACACAGAGUUUCCAGCUGAACCACAAGUCGUCUACUCUUCGUUGAAGACGACUUCACUGCAGUCCAACCACUGACGUCCACUCAGACCUUCAUCCUUUAUUUAAUCAUGUAUUUUGUGUAAAUUAAUUGUCAGAAAACUACAUGAACCAACAUCUGAGCGUUUCUUCUUUUCACCUUCAGAUGUGUUUUUAGGUUUUACUCUGCUCCAACCCUGAGGUUCCAGUCAGCUGCUGCGUAAAUCUCAAGAUCAAGACUUGUUGUGGGUUUCACCAAGAUGCAGAAUGGAAUAUUUAACUCUGGUUUCUUUGUGGUUUAAUCUGCAUUUUAAGUGUUUCACCGCUGAGAGGCAAGAAUGAGAUCAUGAAAACCAACACCACAGAUUUUAAACAGACGCUAGAAACGAACACAAGUCUGAAAGAAGAAACUUUCUUCAGUGAAACUUAGAAGAGAUCCCAUCUGUACAAUUCUUUCUCACUUCAUAAAGACCCUUAAACAUCUCUUGGUGCAUUAUGAUCCAGGUUUUGACAUUUUUAUGCCUUAAUGAUCCAUUUUUUAACACUUUGGAGCAUUAAUCUAUUGAUUGUUUUGUGCUAUCAUGCAAUAAAAUCCUAGUUACCUCCGCCAAGGAGGUUAUGUAACAUCUGGCGUUUGUGUGUCUGUCUGUUAGCAAGAUAACUCAAAAACGCCUGGGCAGAUUCAGAUGAAAUUUUGAGGGGAUGUAGACUAUGGUAAGAGGAAGAGCUGAUUUAAUUUUGGUGGCAAUCCGGAAAGGAUCCUGGAUUCUGGAUCACUUUGAAUUUUGUAGUAUGUUUUAGUAUGUGGUCCAAAAUAUGACAAAAACAUCAUAGGUUAGUAUGUCGUCCAGCUAAUUAGAGCAAGGUGUCCAGAUAGCUCAACUGGUUAAGAAGGUGAUUCGUAAACAGAACUGUGUCAGAGAUGCAGGUUUGAUUCCAGCUCAUGAUCCUUUACUGCAUGGGUUUCCUGUUUUCCUUUCUGUGGGAAUGUCAAUA